GGUGCUUAUGACUGUGUUUCUAUGAAGAGAGGGAGAAGGACAGUGUUGUUCUUUAUUCUGCAUCAUUUGCACCAUCCUGCAUGCAAAAGCACUGGAUUCGAUUAGGGAUGCGUUAAGUCGAUCAUUUCCAAGUUCAGCAUGAUGAGAGAGAACGAGGGAGAGAGAGUCUCUCGAAGGAUUUAUCUCUUUGGCAGAGGACCUGGCUAUUUCUUGGAAGAGGAACAAAGGAUUGUGGGAAGAGGGAGUGCAGGAAAGCAUCCACACAUCCUCUUGGGCUAAAACCUUUGACUGUGACGUCACAAUGAAACGACCAGUAGUACUAUGAAUCAUUGCUCAUGCCAAUAGCCUUCCCAACUGUUGAGACAUCUGUGUAUGUAUUUGCACCUGUUACUGAGGAUUGUCAGGAUUUUUCAGUGCACCUUGCCACUUAGUGUUUCUUCAAAUGAAUGAAAAAUUAAAGAUGUAGUACAUUUAUCUUCCUCAUCUUUAUGUGGCAUGUAUACAGACCACCUGCAAAAAUAUGCAAAAAUAAGAUUUUUUAUUUGUAUUUUAUGCAUUUUUAUUUAUCGAUCUGUCACAUUCCCAUUUUCAUACAUAUUUAAUGUACAUAGCAGAAAUAACCAAAAAUAUAAAAAUGACAAAAUGAAAAGAAAUGAUAGAAAAUGAAGUCAAAAUGAAUAACACAUGGUGUUAAAUCCAUAAGCAUCACUCUAAUAAACAUAUUUUAUCGUUUUGCAUUUUUAUAUAUUUAAUAUUUUUGACUAUAUUGUAAUAAUUUCUCAUUCUAAUUUUAGAGGUUGUCUUUAACAACUCACUUAAUGAACUUAAAUCACCUGACAGUCCAAGUUCAGGGCACAUUAAUGUUUUUUUUUACCUUAA